rnacentral:rRNA from 1 species
GACGAACGCUGGAGGCGUGCUUUACACAUGCAAGUCGAACGAUGAAAUGGAGCUUGCACCAUGGAUUAGUGGCGAACGGGUGAGUAACACGUGAAUAACCUGCCCUUAAUUUUGGAAUAACCCAGGGAAACCUGGGCUAAUACCGGAUAAGUAAACCUGUGGCAUCACAUGGUUUUGGAAAGUUUUUCGAUUAAGGAUGGAUUCGCGGCCUAUCAGCUUGUUGGUGAGGUAAUGGCUCACCAAGGCGACGACGGGUAGCCGGCCUGAGAGGGUGAACGGCCACACUGGGACUGAGACACGGCCCAGACUCCUACGGGAGGCAGCAGUGGGGAAUAUUGCGCAAUGGACGAAAGUCUGACGCAGCGACGCCUCGUGAGGGACGAAGGUCUUCGGAUUGUAAACCUCUUUCAGCAGGGACGAAGCGAAAGUGACGGUACCUGCAGAAGAAGCACCGGCUAACUACGUGCCAGCCGCCGCCGUAA